rnacentral:rRNA from 1 species
UCCAGACUCCUACGGGAGGCAGCAGUGGGGAAUAUUGCGCAAUGGGCGAAAGCCUGAUGCAGCGACGCCGCGUGGGUGAAGGAGUAUUUCGGUAUGUAAAGCCCUCUCGGCAGGGAAGAAGAAAGACGGUACCUGACUAAGAAGCCCCGGCUAACUCCGUGCCAGCAGCCGCGGUAAUACGGAGGAUGCGAGCGUUAUCCGGAUUUAUUGGGUUUAAAGGGUGCGCAGGCGGCACGGCAAGCCGGCGGUCAAAUCGCGGGGCUCAACCCCGCCCAGCCGUCGGAACUGCCGGGCUAGAGUGGGCGAGAAGUGCGCGGAAUGCGUGGUGUAGCGGUGAAAUGCAUAGAUAUCACGCAGAACUCCGAUUGCGAAGGCAGCGCACCGGCGCCCUACUGACGCUCAGGCACGAAAGCGUGGGUAUCGAACAGGAUUAGAUACCCCAGUA